rnacentral:rRNA from 1 species
CAGCAGCCGCGGGAAUACGGAGGGUGCAAGCGUUAAUCGGAAUUACUGGGCGUAAAGCGCACGCAGGCGGUCUGUCAAGUCAGAUGUGAAAUCCCCGGGCUUAACCUGGGAACUGCAUUUGAAACUGGCAGGCUAGAGUCUUGUAGAGGGGGGUAGAAUUCCAGGUGUAGCGGUGAAAUGCGUAGAGAUCUGGAGGAAUACCGAUGGCGAAGGCAGCCAUCUGGCCUAACACUGACGCUGAGGUACGAAAGCAUGGGGAGCAAACAGGAUUAGAUACCCGUGUAGUCCCUGUCUCUUAUAC